UACGUAGGGUGCGAGCGUUAAUCGGAAUUACUGGGCGUAAAGCGUGCGCAGGCGGUGAGCUGUGUCCGAUGUGAAAGCCCCGGGCUUAACCUGGGAAUGGCAUUGGAAACUGGCUCGCUGGAGUGUGGCAGAGGGGGGUGGAAUUCCUGGUGUAGCAGUGAAAUGCGUAGAUAUCAGGAGGAAUACCGAUGGCGAAGGCAGGUCUCUGGGCUGACACUGACGCUCAUGCACGAAAGCGUGGGGAGCAAACAGG
rnacentral:rRNA from 1 species